rnacentral:lncRNA from 1 species
CCUAAAUUGUAUACAGAACAAGGGAAAACUGUAAUAUAUAUAUAUAUAUACAAACAUAAACCUACAAAAUUUGGGGAGAAGCCGAAAAUUGAGUGCUUCAGUGAGGAAAAGUCGGCAGCUGCUAGGGUAUGCUAGUGGAUUGCAAAAGCUGAUUUUUUAGAGAAAAUACCCACAGAAUUGGACAACUAAUUGUCAUUGGAUGGUAAAAAUUAUUCACCAAAUCUUGUCUACACAUACGACCAUGCAUUUCAUGUAAGUGGCUGCUGGAAUUGGAAUCUUCAAUUGGCAAUAAAAUUGGGCAGACGGUGGGAAUUAAUUUGUGGCUGCAUGGAUUCAUAUAUACCCAUGACCCGAGGCAAGCAGAGGCGAAAAUCAUAAACUGAAGAGGAAAAAGACGGCAGCCAACUAAAAUUGCGAGAAUUAAUUACGUUUGAUCGAUUUUUGGUGAUAUUCUUCCACUUUUCUUUGUUUAAUUUUCACAUUAUGUUAGGCUAAAUUAUUUUGUGCUAGGAUUUGCGAUGAACCUUAUAUUAUGAACCCUUAAUCUUGAAUUUUAUUCAUUUGACGUUAAAACAUGUUUUUAAUUAUUGAAUGAUUGGCAUUGAUUUUAUUUUCUCUACAAUUAUGUGCGCAAUAGUUGUAUGAGAUUUGUGACUUGUUUUACCCUCGAGAGAUGGAAAAUAAGUUAGACAUUAUGUUAAUUGUCGUAAAGUCCGAUAGGGGAUAGAAAUAUAUCACUAUGCUUUAUGUGAUUUUUAAGUAUUCAUAAAUCUUUAAUGCAUUUUUAUAUGUUCGCAUUCGUCAUAGAAAUAUAGUCGGGUCACAUGUAAAAGUAGGUUUAACUCUACUCGAGAGAGAUUGUUAAACAAAUUAGGAAUAUUGGUCUUCAUAAUUGAAUCGUGUUGUCAAUUUUAUAAAAUUCGGAUUAAAGAGGAUUGAUAUAAGGGGAUUCGGGAUCCUAGUACGCAUUUCGUUAUCAUAUUUUUUAUAAAACUCGCAUUUAGUUAUAAUCACGCGUUUAGUUAAUUUAGGCUUUAUAUUUAUAAGUAGGUUAUUAAAUUAUAAUUUAGUUAGCGAAAAUAUCAAGAAUUUCUAUUAUUUCGGUUAAGGCGUAGAUAAUUUAAAUUUAAACUAAUACAAUCUCUGUGGGACGAUACUUGGACUCAAAAGGUCCACUUUAUUACUUGAACGCGACCUGUGCACUUGCGGUGUGUGAUUUUAGCUAACAGGGAGUUGAGACGGAUGGUGGGGAAAGCUACUUGGAACAGUAGCUUUGAGAGUUUUACUGCGGUGUUGGAGCAGCUUGAUGAUCAUCACGGAGAUAUGCUGCGACAGUCCUUCUUGUGGCCACUGUACCAUAUGCGAGAUGUGCAGUACUCAGGACAGAUCAUCGAUGCACUUCUAUGUCGGCUUUUGAGACCAGUCGACAGCGAUUCCCUCCACUUCGACCUCGGGGGCAAGGUUGUCAGUUUCUCGAUUUAUGAGUUUAGCUUGAUCGCUGGACUGAGGAUUACGGGCGACUAUACAGCCAUUGAAAGAAGCAAUAGGCUGUACGAGACGUACUUUCAGGAACAUGGGUCAGUGCAUCUACCCGAGUUGAUGGUCGCGAUUAGGGGGUGCGAUCAGAUGUUAGAUAGAUUGAAGCUUGGGCUGGUCUACAUCCUCGAGAGUGUGAUGAGGUGUCAUCAUAAGAAGACUGCCAUCGACAUUUUUCAUUUGGAAGUUGUUGACGACAUUGAUGCGUUCAACAGCUAUCCAUGGGGCCAGAGAUGCUACGAAGACACCGUACAUGUUUUCACCAGAUUACACUCGAGGCCCAGGGGGUCAAUACGUAAAUACGAUACAUAUGGAUUGCCCUUAGCGGUGCAGCUAAAUGUUUAAUAUAAUUAAAGUUAAAGUUUUAGUAUAUUGCAUAUAUGCAUAAUAAGUGUAUGUGUUGCAGAUUUGGGUGUAUGAGACAGUCCCUGCACUGGGAGCCCGCUUCGCGAAGCGAGAGGAAGGGAGACACGAUGCCCUCGAAUGCAUCAUUGGAGAUCGUCGCGAGCGGAGGGAUGUCCCACUGGGAAACAGUUAUCGGCCCUCCUCGACGAUCCUCAAGUAAGUAUUAUGCAUUUGUGAUUUAUAUUAUACGUAGUUUAAAUCUGUUUACAUGAUCGUUAACUAGUUCAAAUGUUAAUACGUCAGCUUGAAGUCAUACCUGAGUUGACGCCGUUGAUGGAGGAGGAGGAUCGAGGUCUUGUGCGGGAUGUAGGUGUUCCGAAGACGAGCAGAUGUCUGAUCCGAGUGUGGAUCGAGAUUGGGUAUGUGAAUUAAAUAUAAUUUAUUGAAUAUCGUCGACGUAUAAAUUUAUUUAAUAAUUUUUAGUGUUAUUUAUAUAGGAGGGCGGUUCAGCUGAUCGACGAUCACCUCCGCCGAGGGUAUCGCCGCCACCAUUGGCAUCACCUCCGCCGAGGGUAUCGCCGCUGCCAUUGGCAUCGCCUCCGCCGAGGGCAUCGUCGCCACCGCUUAGGGUAUCUCCUUCUCCCUCGUCCAGACACGUCCCCCGUGUAUUGCCGACCCACACUGAUGAUUUGUAUGCCCGUCUGACUGGAUUUAUAGUGGAGAAGGUCGGCGCGCUACGACAAGAGUUGAUGGAGAGGGUCGAUGAUCUGGGACGAGAGUUGACAGGGAGGGUCGACGAUCUGACGGAGAAGGUCGACUAUAUGACAGGGAGGAUUGACGAUCUAUCCCAUGAUGUUGGAAUGCUACGAUCUUGCGUUGUCGACCUUCAGGAUGCGGUAGCAACACUUAGAGGAGAUUUAGCCGCUAGGCGAUGGGGGGACAGAGGGGAUGGUGGAGAUGAUCGAGAGGGUGGCGGAGAUGGUGAUGGAGAGGGAAGUCAUCCACAUUUUUGGCAUGACGAGACAUUAGAGUCAUUCUGGUUGUCUAUGGAGGGGGAUAGGGUGGCCCCGAUGGGGGGACGACGGGGGAGGCACCGAUGGGAGAGACAGAGGAGGUGGCGACAGAGGAGGAGGCCCCGAUGGGAGGGGCAGAGGAGGUGGCGACAGAGAGAGAGGCCUCGAUGGGGGGGCGGAUAAGGUGGCGACGGAGGAGGUGGCCACGAUGGGAGGGGCAGAUGAGGUGGCUACAGAGGAGGGGGCCCCGGAGGGUGAAAGGACGCCCAUCGUGAUUGAGGGUAAGAGACAUGCUGUUGAUGAGACGGAGCAGGUGGUCGGCAAGAGGUUGAGAGUGCCGUCACAGUACGUUAUUUCUCCCUUCACCACUGAGGCCAAGAGGAGGACGUUCAUCGAUGGGACGUACCCGAACUUAUUCAGAGAGGUGGACAAUGCCAAGUGGAAAGCAUUCGAGACGGAGUGGAGGAGAAUUAUCCCCGGGUAAGUAUUGUAUGAUUUUAAUAAAACACUGUACGCUAACUCGUCUAUGCUUAUUUUAACAUUUUCCUGUUUUUUCAGAGCUACCCGCAUGAUAGGUAACCGGACAGUCUCGGAUGCUUACAAGUGGUUCCACAAUAUCAUGACUGCAGGAGUUUGGCUCGCCGACGAUGUAAGUGAACUAUUCAUUUUGUGUUUUGUAUGUAUACGUCACUUUGUGUUUAUUAAAUGAAUAACAAAUAAUUUUUUGGUAUUUCUUGAUGCAGCACAUCGACUUGGCCAUGGACUUGCUGCGAGAUCGAGCUCAGAGACAUCCAAAAUCAUUUGACGUCCAUGGUCGAGUCAUAUUAAACACCGAGCUCCUGCGUGCCGUUACCAUAGAGUAUCAGUCGCUCCAACUUAUGGGUAACGAGUACACGGUGCUCGAAUAUAUGCUCGAGUGGGUCAUAGUAUUGUCGCCGAGUGUCGGGGGAAAAUCAUGGGAGAGUUGUACACAUAUGUACAUUCCAGCGUGCAUCAAUAGGCAUUGUGUUAUGCUGGAGAUCGUUUUUGUUGACACGACUAUAUAUGUGUAUGAUCCAGAUCAUUCAUGUUUAACGCAAGGCCAGUUGGAGCAAAACUUGGAGUCCGUAGCUGUAAUUGUUCCUAUGAUGGCCAGACAAGCGGGGAUGACUGUACAGGAUAGAUUGCAGAUUGUUCGGAAUACGACGACAUCACGAUAGUCCGUAAGGUAAGUGUUUGAACUUUGUUGUUUUCACCUUUCAGAUUUAGUUUUUUAGCUACACAGUAUUGAACUGAUCCAUUCUUGUUCAAUUGUAGCGGCGACUGCGGCAUAUUUGCCAUUAAGUACGUUGAAUUUUUAAGUAUAGGACAUAAGGUUGAUGAAAUCAACCAAUCGUGGAUACAGAACUGGUAAAAGAAGUUAGCAUGUGAUUUGUUCGAAUUUAAUGGUGACCCGUAAAUUUGUAUUAAAUAUAUGUAACAUUCGAAUAGUAAAUUUAAUUAUUUUUUGUGAUUAUGAAAUAAUUGUAAAUUUGUAUUCAGUGUAUA